rnacentral:tRNA from 1 species
UGCCCCGUAGCUUAACCGGCAGAGCACCUGUCUCUGGAACAGGAGGUUGGAGGUUCGAGUCCUCCCGGGGCAG